GAUACCUUUUGAUUGAGACUACCGAAAGUAUCCUAAUUGUUUACUCCUUCUCAGGAUCAAGGCCACAGGAGAUAUAUGUGUAGGUGAGCAGGUCUAAAUGGUGGGUUUUGCUGUCCUUGAGAAACGUUGGAUGGGGGCUGCCAGGAAAUUGUGUUUAAUUACUUUAAGUAUUGAAAUUGUAAGGAUUACUUGCUAAGUUAAAGCUUGUGAUCAUAUUUACUUCCUUAGGUGUUGGUCAAGAGUUAGAGAUAAAGAUGUUUUUGUUUGUUUAACUUAUUAGGAAA